AACUCGGUGGUGAAGGCAUCACAUCUGCCGUUCACUGUAGUAACAAAUUUUAUGCUUCUAAGGCGCGGAUCUUAUGCGGAAGUCGCCCGUUCGACCCGGGCCCGAGUUC